GUAACGUGUGCACUCAAGGGAAGAGACGGCCGAGCGCGUGCGCAGCUGGGACUGCGGUCCAGGGCCGCGUCGGGGUCCGAGAGAGCGGUCCCGCUUGCGGGGACUCAGCCCCGAAGGUGCUGGACUCCGCCGUGUGCGCGCGGCCACAUCUGGGAGGACUUAGCACCCAGCGCUGAAUACCAGCCACCAACGCGGUACUCCCGUGUCCGAGUUUCUCCAACCACUCUACGUUUCCACAACAUGCCCCGUUUAUGUCUUCCCUGCACGGGGAGGCCUGGGUGUGCGAAGCUUAGUACCCGUCCCCGAGGUGCUGUUUGCGAGGUGUUGGAGUCACGGCCGAAGAAUGGAUGCUGCUGUGUGCUCUGUGCGUAGGGUGCUUGAAGCUCAGUGUCUAGAGUGCUUGUAGCUCAGUACUAAGCACCCAGCACUCACGUUGGGCCACUGAGAUGGCACAGCAGGUCAAGGUGCCUCUGGCCCGGCCUGAACACCCGCCUGUGAGGGCUGCACCGACGGUGACUGAGUAACAUCACUGGUCAACCAAGCACAGAGUACCCAGUUCGAAUCCUCAGCACCUACCUCCAAAGCGGGCUUGGGUGCUUAUGCCUGGUACUCCACGUGUGGGGGUGCCCUGCGCUCAGUCUCCCGUCGGGGUAACUUCCGGUUGUGUCCGACACCCGGUGGCAAGAUGGGAAGUCGUCCUGGAAGUCUCUUCAUGUUCCACCCGAGCUGUUUUUCGAGAAUUUAAAUUCUUCAUUGCGUUUACUGUGUGACAAGCACUGCUGUCUGUGUAUCUAUCGGUCUGUCGUCUGUCCGUCUAUCACGUAGACACAUGAGCUCACACACGUCACAGGAGCCCCGGCCAGGCUUUCACCCACGCCGUGACCACUUGUGACGCUCUCUACGUCCUGUCCACCAUGACGUCAUCAGCUCUGCUCCACCCGCGCUCUCCCAUGAUGCUCUGCGACACCACAGGCCCUAAGCAGAGGAACCCAGGGACCCAGGGCCAGCCCUGCACGCCUGAACGUGACCUGCGUAUACGUAAGUGCACGGCACGUAUGUAAACUGCCCUGGAUGUGUAUAAGCGCUCUGCACGUGUGUAAACUGAACUGCAUGUGUGUCCGUGCACUGUGUGUAUGUAAAAUGCCCUGCACGUAAGUGCGCUGCACAUAUGUAAACUGAACUGCAUGUGUGUAAGUGCGCUGUGUGUCUGUAAGUGUCGUGCCUGAAUAUAAGCCGGAUUCAUGUAACUGCAUCGCAUGCACGUAAACUGCCCUGCAUGCGUGUAAGUACACUACAUGUACGUGAGCUGCACUGCAUGUGUGCAAGUGCAUCACAUGUAUGUAAACUGCCCUGCACAUGUGUAAAGUGCAUCACAUGUAUGUAAACUGCCCUGCGUGUGUGCAAGUGCAUCACAUGUAUGUAAACUGCCCUGCACAUGUGUAAAGUGCAUCACAUGUAUGUAAACUGCCCUGCGUGUGUGCAAGUGCAUCACAUGUAUGUAAACUGCCCUGCACAUGUGUAAAGUGCAUCACAUGUAUGUAAACUGCCCUGCGUGUGUGCAAGUGCAUCACAUGUAUGUAAACUGCCCUGCACAUGUGUAAAGUGCCCUGAAUGUGUGUAAGAGCACUGCAUGUGUGCAAACGGAACUGCGUGUAAGUGCACUGCAGGAGUAUAAACUGCAUGUAUGUAAGUGCAUCGCAUGCACGUAAAUUGCCCUGCAUGUGUGUAAGAGCACUGCAUGCAUGUAAACUGCCCUGUAUAUGUGUAAGAGCGCCGCACAUGUGUGAACUGCACUGCACGUGUGUAGGAGCACUGCGUGUGUGUGAACUGCCCUGCAUGUGUGCACGUGGACUGCAUGUGUGUGAACUGAACUGUGUUGUGUAAGUAGACCGCAAGUAAGUGCACUGC